GGAAAGUUCAAGACGAAGUGGUGUUUUAGAUUCAUCUGCUCCUUGGGAGAAUAUGGGCCUGCCUAAUCUUGAGCAGUGGACAUCUUAUCAAUCUGAUGUUGAUACUGAAAUACUCAUUAGAUGGCUAAAAGAGCAUGACCCGAGAGAGAGAGAAUUGAAGGAGUCUAUUUUGCAGUGGCGGGAUACUAGAAAAAUGAUAUACUACUAUUUGGAAAGUCAUGGCCAUGACACGGUAGGACUGAACACUUCAAUUCCCUCUGAGGAUUCUGGUUCCUGUUUCAAUUCUGAUUCUCUCGUCACCAGAGCCGUUACUGCAAUUAAAAAGAUGGUUAGUGGGUGCUCAACAGAAGAGGAAACGGGAAUCUGC
rnacentral:misc_RNA from 1 species